GGCCUUGUAUUCAUUUUGUGAUUAUAGAAUGCAAUUCUAUAGGGGUGGGAGUGGUACUUACCAAGGCCU
rnacentral:tRNA from 1 species